ACAGGGAUUUUUCAAAAUAAGAGGCACUUCCUGGUUGGAUUUCCUCAGGUUUUCGCCUGCAAAAUCAGUUCUGUUAUACUCACAGACAAUAUUUUGACCGUUUUGGAAACUUUAGAGUGUUUUCUAUCCUAAUCUGUCAAUUAUAUGCACAUUCUAGCAUCUGGGCCUGAGAAAUAGGCCGUUUACUUUGGGAACGUUAUUUUUCCAAACAUAAAAAUACUGCCCCCUAGCUUCAAGAGGUAGCCCUUAAGCAACAGUCCAGUUCAAGAAGAAGAACAUAUUUACCAAGUAGGCUAAAAUCAGAUCAGAAAUGUCCCGUGCGAGAGAGGCAGGUUGAGGUUUCCAGGGUUAGAGUAGUGUAGAAGUUGUCUUAUGCUGAGGCAGUGAAGAAAGUAGGGGAAGAUGAGUCAAGUGGGAGGGAUCCUGAGAGGAGUGGUGUGAAUAGUAGAUCUGUACCAGUACAGAAAGAUAAACCAACAAGUGAUAUGUUUCAGUAAUGUUUUUGUUUUUUGCAUUUAUAGCAAUGAUUAUCAACUGUACUGCAGGGGUGGAACGUAAGUCUCAGAAAAUUGAGGUUGUGGUGGCAGCUGCAGAGAGAUAGUUGUGUGUGCGAGAUUUGACAUCAGAAAAGUUACAGGGUGUGUGGUAUCCUAUCCUUUCAUUUUUCUAUUGUGUUAUUGGCUGUACGUUUGUUUAUCCCAUGCCUAACUCAGUGUUGUUGUUUUUGUCGAACUGUAUAAGUGAGUUGCAAAGUAUAAUUGAGUUGUACUCCAGUCUAGUAGGUGGCGGCAAUGCAACAUUUAUUGGAUGCCAACCGCAGUUAAACCUCGAAGACGAAGACCACUUAUCGGUUUCUGGUCCACGGAGGACAUACUUCUUUUUCUCCCUCAAAUGCGGAAAGGCCCAUGAAUAGGAGGUUUGAUGUGUAACGUAAUAAGCAAUACCGUAUUUCAAAGAACAGCGCGCAUAGACUUUUUAUUUAUCCGCCAACCAAUAACAUAUGUGUAAACGCAAGUAAACAAUGACCAAUAACAAUUUCCACGUUAGCAUUUUUGUUGAUAUUUAGACUUUUAUUAACAUCCUGGAACUCAAAACUGCACAACAUCACUCCAUGUAGAAUUUAAAUCGCGUUGGAGUCCGAAUUUACUUGAUAGAUGUUAUCUAGGUAACGUUAGCUAACUGUAUGGAUUUUCACACUCAAAUAGCCUCCAUCGUGGAGCUGCUAGCGAAUUCAGCCGUGGCAGAGAUCUGUAAAUUCGUAGACGACAACUAUGCAGUGUUUAGUUUGGAAAUAACUCAAAGCCAGAAAGAAAACAGGGGAUUAUGGAGGAAAUUACAGAUACUGGAACUUGUGGCACGAGAGCGCGUCCUCACCAGUCGUCCCACAAGAUCUUCGACCGAUACAGAGGAAUGGCAAGAGGUGAAGGACAUCUCACUUGAGGCCACAGGAGCUUUGUGAAACCAGCGUGACACGCAUGUGGAGAGAUGACCAACCCAUAUCUAUAGAUGAGGGGAGUGGAACCUCAACCCAGCAUGUUAUUGUGAUAGAGUCUGCAGAGACUGCAGGUCCUGGGGCCAAGCAGGAGAGGACCUAAGACACAACAGAGACAUCCAGACUAGAGCAGCGGCUGGAGUGAUGCCCCCUGUAGCCCUCCCCACCGUCACCAUGCCCCAGACCAGGACCCAACGCAACAUCAGUGAUGUCAGUGGAACGCUGAACACCGUCCUCAUGUCAGAGACGUACACCAAGACUUUAACUGUAACACAAAGGCUCUUACACACAGGAUCUUCCCACAAAUCAGACUCAGAGAGGCUGGGUCUGAUCCUGGCUCAGAAUAUUUACAGGUAUUUCAGCAGAGCCAGAGGACGGUUCAUUCCUGUGGGGAUAGUGAUGCAUUAGACGUUGUCUGUCUUGUUCUUACGCUACAGAGAUGGACCCUGGCAACAUAUCCUUGGAUUUAGACACAGACUGAUCUGUCUAGAGGGAACUGGAACCUGUACAGUAGUAGUGUAUACUCUGAAGGGUGCCUAGAUAGGAAAGGGCAGGGAAAGCGGAAGGCGACAUUCCUCCUACAUGGAAUGCAGAGAUUUCUUAGAUUACAGGGAAAGUUUAGAGACAAAUCCAAAUAUUCACGACCCACUCCCCUUUCCACAUGUUCAAGAAUUGCGACCCAGUUUCCUCAUCGAUGGGGCCUUCCGAUUCAAACGUCCUUUUCGAUCAGGUAUUGAACUCAAAGGGCCAGAUCGCGGGGAUGGGGAGCAAAAUCAGUCAAUAGUAAAGAGAAAUGGUUCCUCUGCAUGUUCUGUAACAAAUGUUUCAGUUGCCCCCAGAAGGUGGAGAUCCACCAGAGGGUCUACACAGGGGUGAAACCCUUCAGCUGCCCCCAGAAGGUGGAGAUCCACCAGAGGGACUACACAGGGGUGAAACCCUUCAGCUGCCCCCAAAAGGUGGAGAUCCACCAGAGGGUGGAUUCUCUCGACAGCACCAGCUGAACAUGCACAUGAAGGUCCACAGGGGAGAGAAGCCAUUUGCCUGUACACACUGCAGGAAGAGGUUCUCAGAGAAGAGCUACCUAAGGACACACCAGCAGAAAACAAUCCCAUUCUAGAACAUAGAAAGAAACCAUUCCACUCGAUAGCUUCUCACAUUUAGAUCAAACCCUGCAUUAAAGACAAAGAUGAAUUGUGAUUGUUGUCAGCAGAAAACAUCCACAGAUGCAUUUGGAAUUAUGAGAGUAAAAUAUUUCAGUGUUGAAUAUUCCUGAGUAAAAUAUUGCAUCCAGACACUGUGUGAUAUAUAAGACAUACAGUGCCUUCAGAAAGUAUUCACACCCCUUGACUUUUUCCACAUUUUGUUGUUACAGCCUGAUUUUAAAAUUUAUUAAAUAGAUUGUUUUUCACUGGCCUACACGCAAUACCCCAUAAUGUCAAAGUGGAAUUAUGUUUUUAGAAAUGUUUACAAAUAAUAAAUAAAUGAAAAGCUGAAA